UUAAAGUUCGACUGCAGUCUAAGUUCUCUUGUAAUCUAUCAUAUCUGGAACUGUGUGCCGGAGAGGUGGCCACCUCUCACGGUCACUUGACCGGCCAACCCGCUAGAUGACUCACGGUCACUGGUGUACACUAGCCCUGGCAGGAUAGCUAUCAACUGCUCAAGACCCGAAUUCGAUUACAUAACUGGCAAAGCCACAUCAGAUAGAUAUCAUACUAAAAUUUAAACAUUUAUGGCAAGACAACAGUUGUAAUAUUUUCCAGUUCAAAGAUUUGUAACGAAAUAACUUGUUCAAAGGUAGCAUUAAACUCGUUUGAUAUAUAUAUAAAACUGAAAUUAACAGUUAAAUCAUCUCAUGCAUUCAUUCAUAUAAGAGGCCUGCGACACGCAGGGGAUCUCUAUAUACGUAUAGUAAAAGUAAUGCCCACCUGG
rnacentral:lncRNA from 1 species